rnacentral:rRNA from 1 species
CCUACGGGAGGCAGCAGUCGGGAAUUUUGGGCAAUGGGCGAAAGCCUGACCCAGCAACGCCGCGUGAAGGAUGAAAUCCCUCGGGAUGUAAACUUCGCAAGAACGGGAAGAAUAAGCCGGUGCCAAUAACACCGGCGAUGACGGUACUGUUUGUAAGCCCCGGCUAACUCCGUGCCAGCAGCCGCGGUAAUACGGGGGGAGCAAGCGUUGUUCGGAUUUACUGGGCGUAAAGGGCGCGUAGGCGGCCACCGCAAGUCGACUGUGAAAUCUCCGGGCUUAGCUCGGAAAGGUCAGCCGAUACUGCGGGGCUAGAGUGCAGAAGGGGCAACUGGAAUUCUCGGUGUAGCGGUGAAAUGCGUAGAUAUCGAGAGGAACACCUGCGGCGAAGGCGGGUUGCUGGGCUGACACUGACGCUGAGGCGCGAAAGCUAGGGGAGCGAACGGGAUUAGAUACCCCGGUAGUCCUAGCCUUAAACGAUGAAUGCUUGGUGUCUGGGGUUUUAUAGUCCCCGGGUGCCGUCGCUAACGCUUUAAGCAUUCCGCCUGGGGAGUACGGUCGCAAGACUGAAACUCAAAGGAAUUGACGG